AAUUUUGGACAAUGGGGGCAACCCUGAUCCAUCCAUCCCGCGUGUGCGAUGAAGGCCUUCGGGUUGUAAAGUACUUUUGGCAGAGAAGAAAAGUUUUCUCCUAAUACGAGGUACUGCUGACGGUAUCUGCAGAAUAAGCACCGGCUAACUACGUGCCAGCAGCCGCGGUAAUACGUAGGGUGUAAGCGUUAAUCAGAAUUACUGGGCGUAAAGCGUGUGUAGGCGGUUCGGAAAGAAAAAUGUAGAAUCCCAGGGCUCCACCUUGUAACUGAAUUUUUAACUGCCGGGCUAGAGUAUGUCAGAGGGGGGUAGAAUUCCACGUGUAGCAGUGAAAUGCAUAGAUAUGUGGAGGAAUACCGAUCGUGAAGGCAGCCCCCUGGGAUAAUACUGACGCUCAGGCACGAAAGCGUGGGGAGCAAACA
rnacentral:rRNA from 1 species